rnacentral:lncRNA from 1 species
AUAUACUUUAAAGAUACAAAAAAGUUGUUAUUCAAAUAAUUCUCUUUGAUUCUCUUUGUAGGAAGACAAUGGCAAUGUGAAAACAACAUAGUAGAAAGGGUUUGCCACUGUGGAAGAGGCAAAUCACAUUUAUGAUUUGCCCUUGGGUGCCUUCUAUUCUUUUAGUGCCACCAUUAUCAGCCCAAGGAUUCAAGGCAGGAGAAAAUACCCUCCAGGAACAUUCUAUCUGAUGGCUCAUCACUUCUGAAAGAAACAGGAAUAAAAGUAUAUUCACAAAGGCACAAAAAAAGCUAUAUUGCAUGCAAAUUUCCAUUCAUGCUAAUAGGAGCUGUUAUAGGUGAUUCAUACUUUAAAGACAUAUACUAAAAAUUAUUUUUAUCCACUCUUAAUGUCUCCUUUUAAAAAUAAAACUCAUAGUAAAACGUGAAGAAUAAUCA